GACGAACGCUGGCGGCGUGCUUAACACAUGCAAGUCGAACGGAAAGGCCCUGCUUUUGUGGGGUGCUCGAGUGGCGAACGGGUGAGUAACACGUGAGUAACCUGCCCUUGACUUUGGGAUAACUUCAGGAAACUGGGGCUAAUACCGGAUAGGAGCUCCUGCUGCAUGGUGGGGGUUGGAAAGUUUCGGCGGUUGGGGAUGGACUCGCGGCUUAUCAGCUUGUUGGUGGGGUAGUGGCUUACCAAGGCUUUGACGGGUAGCCGGCCUGAGAGGGUGACCGGCCACAGUGGGACUGAGAUACGGCCCAGACUCCUACGGGAGGCAGCAGUGGGGAAUAUUGCACAAUGGGCUGAAGCCUGAUGCAGCAACGCCGCGUGCGGGAUGACGGCCUUCGGGUUGUAAACCGCUUUCGCCUGUGACGAAGCGUGAGUGACGGUAAUGGGUAAAGAAGCACCGGCUAACUACGUG
rnacentral:rRNA from 1 species